GAUAAACGCUUGCGGCGUGCCUUAUGCAUGCAAGUCGAACGGUUUCGAUUUAUCGAGGCAGUGGCGAACGGGUGAGUAACGCGUAAGUAACCUGCCCCUAAGUUGGGAAUAACCUCGGGAAACCGAGGCUAAUACCGGAUGUGGUAACAGGGUUAUGCUCUGUUACUAAAGCCGAAAGGCGCUUAGGGAGGGGCUUGCGUCCGAUUAGCUAGUUGGUAGGGUAAUGGCUUACCAAGGCGACGAUCGGUAGCUGGCUUGAGAGGGGGGUCAGCCACACUGGGACUGAGAUACGGCCCAGACUCCUACGGGAGGCAGCAGCAAGGAAUAUUGGGCAAUGGGCGAAAGCCUGACCCAGCGACGCCGCGUGGGGGAAGAAGGCCUUCGGGUUGUAAACCCCUUUUCUCAGGGGAGAAUAAUGACGGUACCUGAGGAAUAAGUCUUGGCUAACUACGUGCCAGCAGCCGCGGUAAUACGUAGGAGGCGAGCGUUAUCCGGAUUUACUGGGCGUAAAGAGGGCGCGGGCGGCUUUUUAAGUCGGAUGUGAAAUCUCCUGGCUUAACCAGGAGGGGUCAUUCGAUACUGAUGGGCUAGAGAGCAGCAGAGGGAGGUGGAAUUCCCGGUGUAGUGGUGAAAUGCGUAGAUAUCGGGAGGAACACCAGUGGCGAAGGCGGCCUCCUGGGCUGUUCUUGACGCUGAGGCGCGAAAGCUAGGGGAGCAAACAGGAUUAGAUACCCUGGUAGUCCACGCGUAAACUAUGGACACUAGGUAUGGGGAGUAUCGACCCUCUCCGUGCCGCAGCUAACGCUUUAAGUGUCCCGCCUGGGGAUUACGGCCGCAAGGCUAAAACUCAAAGGAAUUGACGGGGCCCCGCACAAGCAGCGGAGCGUGGGGUUUAAUUCGAUGCAGCGCGAAGAACCUUACCAAGGCUUGACAUGCUGGAAGUAGGAACCCGAAAGGGGGACGACCUGUUAAGUCAGGAGCCAGCACAGGUGCUGCAUGGUUGUCGUCAGCUCGUGUCGUGAGAUGUUGGGUUAAGUCCUGUAACGAGCGCAACCCUCGUUGCCAGUUGUGUUCUCUGGCGAGACUGCCCUGCAAAACGGGGAGGAAGGUGGGGAUGACGUCAAGUCAGCAUGGCCCUUAUGCCUUGGGCUACACACACGCUACAAUGGGUGGUACAGCGGGUAGCAAAGGAGCGAUCCGGAGCCAAUCCUAAAAACCAUCCUCAGUCCGGAUUGCAGGCUGAAACUCGCCUGCAUGAAGUCGGAGUUGCUAGUAACCGCAGGUCAGCACACUGCGGUGAAUACGUUCUCGGGCCUUGUACACACCGCCCGUCACGUCAUGAAAGUCGGCAACACCUGAAGUCGAUGGGCUAACCGCGGAUUUAUCCGGGGGGGCAGUCGCCGAGGGUGGGGUUGAUGAUUGGGACG
rnacentral:rRNA from 1 species